CAUUGUGAAGCUAAGAGCGUUAACCUUUUAAGUUAAAAUUAGAGAUCUUUUUAUCUCCACAAUGA
rnacentral:tRNA from 1 species